GGUCAGGAAUAAAAUUGUCUUGAUCUUUUCAAAUAUACAGUAUAAACUGUAAAAAGUAAUACUUUCAAUAUUUUCCACGCUCUCCCUGUUCACACACACACACACACACACACACACUCCACCAAGUGGACUCCAUGAUCAUGUUUCCUCUCCAGCAUGUCAACACUAUUGUGUGCAGCGUGAUAGCGAUCGUAGUCGCUAAUUGUUUGAGGCAAUAUUGGCGGUGCAAUUGAUGGAGAAAGUGACAAACAACGGUGCGCACGCUCGCCACGACACAGGCGCUCUCUCCUCCUUUUCCCCUCUCUUCGGCUGCUGCUCGUUUAUCGACCUCGUUCUUCCCCGGACGCUUAAAAACAUGUGGACGAUGAAUAAUAGGACACAAACCCUGAAACGCAUCAUCGGGAUCAGGAUGCACCUGGCACAGGGCGCACGAGCGGAUGCAGGCCACAGCUGUUUCCUGUGCACGCUUCCUGGUUCGCCUUUCCACAGGCCUGCUGUUUGCGGGUCGUAUUCGUGGACUUGCUAAGGGCGAUGUGCACGGGUGGAUUCCGGGCUUUUCCAGCAUAGGAUACAUCGGCCGUGGCCACAGACUUCCUUCGGCAGCCAGGGGGAUUUCAGCCGGGGAGCUAAUGAGAAGAUCAUGGGCUCAAUCAAUUGUUUCCUUGAUUGAACACACCCUCUACUUUCCUCACCAACACUUGGAGGCAAGCCAGGGACGCUGCACUGAGAGAAUCCACUCACUGGACACUUCAUUAAGUACACUUAUCGAAAUCCGAUAAUGCAAAGAUGCUGCUUACAAGGAAGUUGAAAAGGCAUACUUCAAUAAAGAUUGUGAAUUUUC